UUUGAGGUGAGGUAACCAGGAGAACGUGAAACGUCUUGGGAUCCCUCGUAAAUUCUGGGAAGAGCAGUAAAUGUUCUAUGGUAUGUGGGAUGGAGGUUCGAACAAGCUUAAUUGGCCACUGGAGUAGCAGUGAUUCCAAAAUGUGAAGAUCCUGAGGCUGAGUUAAUAUAAGUAAAAACAUGCUAAUUGAUUUUUAAAAAUCAGAAGCCUAUAAAGAAGCAAAAAUUGCCAGUGUAGCAUUUCCAUCCAUUUGGUGUAAUACAUUCACGCAUUAGAGACUAAACUCACGCACCACCCCCUCCAACGUUUCCCUCUGCAACUGUGUCUGAUGGUCCAGCUUUUAGAGUGAUGCGGUCCAUGGAGUCAGAAGCCCAGAGAUCCAUAAACCAUCCAGACAUCUAAUAGUGCUUUAAAAGGGGCCCUGAACACUGGAGGUCAUCAACUCUACUGAAUGGAAGGCUUCUCAUGUUAUGGACAAAUUGAAGCUUUGCCAGGAAGGGAGAGUUGCACACGAAAUCUUCCUGCCUGGGUCUGGAGAUGUGAGCAAGGAAGAGGAAUAACAGAAUGAAUCUUGACUCGAUAAAGUAACUGCCAUUUUCCACUUGUCAACGCUGGAUCUCAUCACAUCUGGUAGAUGGAGUGAGGUCCACCACAUUUUUUCUUCCUUUGCUUUGAAAAGCGAUUUAUUCUGAUAAAAUUCAUGCUCAUUAUAAAUACUGAAAUACACAAAGAAUAAAGUAAAAUACAACUGUUGGGGUGAACAUCCUUCCAGACAGCUCUCUUUGUGCACCUAUUAAAAUAUUAUACA